rnacentral:RNase_P_RNA from 2 species
GAGAGUAGGCGUAGGCGGUUGCAGAUCAGUUAACACUGGUUUGAGGAAAGUCCGGACUCCCGAAAGACCAGACUUGCUGGAUAACGUCCAGUGCGAGCGAUCGUGAGGAUAGUGCCACAGAAAGAUACCGCCAAAAUGAGGCAACAGGUGACAGGUGACAGGUGACAGGUGACAGUAAAAUUCCUGUAACCUUUAACCUGUAACCUGCAACCUCUCAUGGUAAGGGUGCAAAGGUGCGGUAAGAGCGCACCAGCAACGUCGAGAGGCGUUGGCUCGGUAAACCCCGGUCGGGAGCAAGGCCAGAGGAACUACGGUUGGUCUUUUACCAGUUCCGCCAUAAUAGAGCCGCAAGAGGCGUUUGGUAACAAACGUCCCAGAUAGAUAACCGCCCUCAUGUAGAGUAAUCUACAUAGAGAACAGAACCCGGCUUACUACCAACUCUCUCCU